rnacentral:rRNA from 1 species
CCCUUAGAUGUCCUGGGCUGCACGCGCGCUACACUGAUGCGUCCAAUAAGCACCUAACCUAAUCCGAAGGGACCGGGUAACCUUAGCAAAGCGCAUCGUGAUGGGGAUAGAUUAUUGCAAUUAUUAGUCUUGAACGAGGAAUUCCCAGUAAGCGCGAGUCAUAAGCUCGCGUUGAUUACGUCCCUGCCCUUUGUACACACCGCCCGUCGCUACUACCGAUUGAACGGUUUAGUGAGGGCCUCGGAUUGGUCUCGGCCCGCUCUUUACCGGGCGGCGCCGUUGGUCGAGAAGACGCUCGAACUUGAUCGUUUAGAGGAAGUAAAAGUCGUAACA